rnacentral:rRNA from 1 species
CCUACGGGUGGCAGCAGUGGGGAAUAUUGCACAAUGGGGGGAACCCUGAUGCAGCGAAGCCGCGUGGGUGAAGGAGUAUUUCGGUAUGUAAAGCCUUAUCAGCAGGGAAGUACAAUGAGGGUACUUGACUAAGAAGCACCGGCUAAAUACGUGCCAGCAGCCGCGGGAAUACGUAUGGUGCGAGCGUUAUCCGGAUUUACUGGGUGUAAAGGGAGCGCAGGCGGGGCGUUAAGCCUGGUGUGAAAGCCCGCGGCCCAACCGCGGGACUGCAUUGGAAACUGGCGCGCUGGAGUGCUGGGGGGGUAGGCGGAAUGCGUAGUGUAGCGGUGAAAUGCGUAGAUAUUAGGAAGAACACCGAUGGCGAAGGCAGCCUACUGGACGGUGACUGACGCUGAGGCUCGAAAGCGUGGGGAGCAAACAGGAUUAGAUACCCCUGUAGUC